GCUGAUUUAGCUCAGCAGGUAGAGUGCCUGCCUUGUAAGCAGGAUGCCGGCGGUUCGAUUCCGUCAAUCAGCACCA
rnacentral:tRNA from 2 species